UACAGAGGGUGCAAGCGUUAAUCGGAAUUACUGGGCGUAAAGCGCGCGUAGGUGGUUCGUUAAGUUGGAUGUGAAAUCCCCGGGCUCAACCUGGGAACUGCAUUCAAAACUGUCGAGCUAGAGUAUGGUAGAGGGUGGUGGAAUUUCCUGUGUAGCGGUGAAAUGCGUAGAUAUAGGAAGGAACACCAGUGGCGAAGGCGGCCCACUGGAUCGGUACUGACGCUGAGACGCGAAAGCGUGGGGAGCAAACAGG
rnacentral:rRNA from 1 species